ACAACGCCCAGUAUUUGAAAUUUCCGUAAGCUUUGGAUCAUGCCAGUGAAAAUGAGUUCAAGACUUGUAAUUUGUAUUCCCAGUCUUUUUUUGCUGUUCAAUUCAUUUUCAACCGUACAAUCUGCUGCCUGUUAUACCCAGUAUCGAGCUGUACGGUACUACUCAGUAAGGUAUUGCUCCUGUCGGUGGUGGGGUUGGUGCACACAUCACCGAUGGGUAACACGUUCCUAUUACGAAUGGGUAACAAAUUGCUGCCCUGGGUACAGAGGAAGUAAUUGUGACACACGUAAGUAUUGCA